rnacentral:rRNA from 1 species
UACGAAGGGGGGCUAGCGUUGCUCGGAAUCACUGGGGCGUAAAGCGCACGUAGGCGGACUCUUAAGUCGGUGGUGAAAUCCUGGAGCUCAACUCCAGAACUGCCUUCGAUACUGAGAGUCUCGAGUCCGAGAGAGGUGAGUGGAACUGACGAGUGUAGAGGUGAAAUUCGUAGAUAUUCGCAAGAACACCAGUGGCGAAGGCGGCUCACUGGCUCGGUACUGACGCUGAGGUGCGAAAGCGUGGGGAGCAAACAGG